rnacentral:other from 1 species
GGUUAUCUGGGAUACUCGUGAUGGAAUGGAUAAAUCCUUGAGCCUAAUAUUUUAUCCGGGGAGCAAUGUUUUGUUUCUGUGUGCAUGACUGCAUGACGGUAAGCCUAAUGAAUCGGAGCGCGCACCCACUUGAACCUUUGGUUCAAGGCUGAAGUUCUACACGACUUUUUGGAGCCGUC